AUUUAUUUAAAUUUGAUCUGUUACAUAAUAGAAAAAGAGCCUGUGAGGGUCAGACCUUAGUUAUUUUAUAAAAGCUGAAAGUUUCUCUGCGCAUUGUUCCCAACACAGGGAGGAACAAUCAGCGACGAAGAAUUUUGGAUCAUGGAGGCUUUGGCAGAUAACAGGUGA